rnacentral:tRNA from 1 species
GCGGGUGUGGCGGAAUGGUAGACGCACCAGAUUUAGGUUCUGGCGCCGCAAGGCGUGGAGGUUCAAGUCCUCUCACCCGUACCA